rnacentral:rRNA from 1 species
GAUGAACGCUGGCGGCGUGCUUAACACAUGCAAGUCGAACGGAACUACUCCAAUGAGAGUCUUCUGAAGGGGGUGGGUGUAGGUUAGGGGCGGACGGGUUAGUAACCCGUUGGUAACCUGGGCUUUACAGGGGGAUAACAGUGGUAAACGACUGUUAAUACCGCAUAAGCGCACAGGAGCUCAUGCUCCGGUGUGAAAAACUCCGGUGGGCUAGGAGGUGCCCGCGUCGGAGUAGCUGGUUGGCGGGGUAACGGCCCACCAAGGCGAGGAUCAGUAGCCGGGAUGAGAGGGUGAGCGGAGACACUGGCACUGAGACACGGCCCAAAAUACUACGGGAGGCAGCAGUGGGUGAUACUGCCCAAUGGGGGAAACCAUGAUGCAGCGACGGUGCGUGAGCGAAGAAGUAUGUAGGUAUGUACAGCUCUAUAAGCAGGGAAGAAAAUGACGGUACCUGACGAAGAAGCCCCGGCUAACUACGUG